GAUGAACGCUGGCGGCGUGCCUAAUACAUGCAAGUCGAGCGAACGGACGAGAAGCUUGCUUCUCUGAUGUUAGCGGCGGACGGGUGAGUAACACGUGGAUAACCUACCUAUAAGACUGGGAUAACUUCGGGAAACCGGAGCUAAUACCGGAUAAUAUUUUGAACCGCAUGGUUCAAAAGUGAAAGACGGUCUUGCUGUCACUUAUAGAUGGAUCCGCGCUGCAUUAGCUAGUUGGUAAGGUAACGGCUUACCAAGGCAACGAUGCAUAGCCGACCUGAGAGGGUGAUCGGCCACCCUGGACCUGGGACCCGGUCCCGACUCCCACGGGAGGCAGCAGUAGGGAAUCUUCCGCAAUGGGCGAAAGCCUGACGGAGCAACGCCGCGUGAGUGAUGAAGGUCUUCGGAUCGUAAAACCCUGUUAUUAGGGAAGAACAUAUGUGUAAGUAACUGUGCCCCUCUUGACGGUACCUAAUCAGAAAGCCACGGCUAACUACGU
rnacentral:rRNA from 1 species